AUUUAUGUUUGGCCAAUAGGUCCAAAAUUAUGUUGGUGAGAUCAGACAGAAAGAUGGAGAGGCAGACAGCCUCCUGUGGCCCAUGAGGUUAAGGAUGAAGCUGGAAACAGAAAGGAACGGGAAAUGGAGGCAGUUGGGAGUUCCAACAAUAGAAAGCCUCCAGCCGAGCAGCGGGGAGGAAAGGAAGAGCUGGGGCUCAGUCACUCAAACAGACCCACAUGCCCAGGUUGUUGCCCUCAAAACCUCGCUGCCUGUUAUGCCACUGCUGAAAUCAUAAUAUCACAGCAGAGUCUAAACAGAAACCUGGAAGGGGCACCGUGUGUACUACGCAGAUCCCCAGCAUACUGGAAUAGUACACUCACCUUGUCCACAAUGCAGAUCUGCUUCUUGCUUUGCACAUCGAGGAUCUCCACUUCAAAGUAAGUGAUUU